rnacentral:rRNA from 1 species
AUUGAACGCUGGCGGCAUGCCUUACACAUGCAAGUCGAACGGUAACAGGUCUUCGGAUGCUGACGAGUGGCGAACGGGUGAGUAAUGCAUCGGAACGUGCCCAGUAGUGGGGGAUAGCCCGGCGAAAGCCGGAUUAAUACCGCAUACGACCUGAGGGUGAAAGGGGGGGAUCGCAAGACCUCUCGCUAUUGGAGCGGCCGAUGUCAGAUUAGAUAGUUGUUGGGGUAAAGGCCUACCAAGGCAACGAUCUGUAGUUGGUCUGAGAGGACGACCAGCCACACUGGGACUGAGACACGGCCCAGACUCCUACGGGAGGCAGCAGUGGGGAAUUUUGGACAAUGGGCGCAAGCCUGAUCCAGCAAUGCCGCGUGCAGGAAGAAGGCCUUCGGGUUGUAAACUGCUUUUGUCAGGGGAGAAAUCUUCUGGGUUAAUACCUCGGGAGGAUGACGGUACCUAAAGAAUAAGCACCGGCUAACUACGUGCCAGCAGCCGCCGUAACAC